GACGAACGCUGGCGGCGUGCUUAACACAUGCAAGUCGAGCGGUAAGGCCCUUUCGGGGGUACGACGAGCGGCGAACGGGUGAGUAACACGUGGGUGACCUGCCCUCAGCUCUGGGAUAAGCCUGGGAAACUAGGGUCUAAUACUGGAUAUGACUCCACGGUGCAUGUCGUGGGGUGGAAAGCCUUGUGCGGCUGAGGAUGGGCCCGCGGCCUAUCAGCUUGUUGGUGGGGUGAGGCCUACCAAGGCGACGACGGGUAGCCGGCCUGAGAGGGCGACCGGCCACACUGGGACUGAGACACGGCCCAGACUCCUACGGGAGGCAGCAGGUGGGGAAUCUUGCGCAAUGGGCGAAAGCCUGACGCAGCGACGCCGCGUGAGGAUGACGCUGU
rnacentral:rRNA from 1 species